rnacentral:rRNA from 1 species
UACGAAGGGGGCUAGCGUUGCUCGGAAUCACUGGGCGUAAAGCGCACGUAGGCGGAUCGCUAAGUCAGGGGUGAAAUCCUGGAGCUCAACUCCAGAACUGCCUUUGAUACUGGCAAUCUCGAGUCCGGGAGAGGUGAGUGGAACUGCGAGUGUAGAGGUGAAAUGCGUAGAGAUGUGGAGGAACACCAGUGGCGAAGGCGACUCUUUGGCCUGUAACUGACGCUGAGGCGCGAAAGCGUGGGGAGCAAACAGG